UACGGAGGGGGCUAGCGUUGUUCGGAAUUACUGGGCGUAAAGCGCACGUAGGCGGCUUGUUAAGUCAGGGGUGAAAUCCUGGAGCUCAACUCCAGAACUGCCUUUGAUACUGGCAAUCUUGAGUCCGGAAGAGGUGAGUGGAACUCCUAGUGUAGAGGUGGAAUUCGUAGAUAUUAGGAAGAACACCAAUGGCGAAGGCGGCUCACUGGUCCGGUACUGACGCUGAGGUGCGAAAGCGUGGGGAGCAAACAGG
rnacentral:rRNA from 1 species